rnacentral:lncRNA from 1 species
CCCAAUGAAAUCCACUUGGGAAAAGUCAAUCUCCCAAGGGAUCUUGGCAUAUUUGUAAAAAACAAAAAUCUUUGAACACUUGAUCUGGACACCCGUCCUUCCUGAAAAUUCUGUUGUUGUACACACCUACCAUCUCCCAUAUACACCAAAACAAGCAAAGGGAGGACCAAAGAUCCACAUUCUCUUUUAUGUUUUUUUGCAUUCUUGUCAUGUUCCACUACAAGCAAAGAAGCAAUCUGACAGGCUUUGGAAAAACCCACUACAAGCCAAAUAAAGCCAAAAAAGGUCCCAAAGCUUUCAGGCUCUGACACAAUGGAUUGUGUUGACUACUUCUUGACCUACACAGACAGCACCCAUUGGCCAACAGUCCAACCCCUCCUCAUAGGCUGAUCAAACAUCAAAAUCUUCUCCCGAGCAACUUACCAUGCAAAUAAACAAGCCCCUAAAGGAGCCCUAAAUUCCAGAUUUGCUUAGCUGGAAACCUCUCAGCAAUUUCAGAACACAGUGAAUAAUAAGACUUGAUAAUAAAAAAUAAAAAUAAAAAAUCAUUCUUUAUCCCCCUCAAAACCAAUCUAUCCUCCCUCCCAAUCAUCAUAACCCUUUUUUUGUAUCACAAUCAUCAUAACCCUAUGAAAGCAAGGGUGCCAUCCUCCCACUCAAAGAUCACCCACUCUAACAUUACUACUAGAAUUUGAACAAGGGAUGUGAUCUUUCAGCAUAGAAUUGCUACUCCAUCUAUCUAACUAGAACCUGAUUUAAAAUAAAAAAUCAUUCUUUAUCCCCCUCAAAACCAAUCUAUCCUCCCUCCCAAUCAUCAUAACCCUUUUUUUGUAUCACAAUCAUCAUAACCCUAUGAAAGCAAGGGUGCCAUCCUCCCACUCAAAGAUCACCCACUCUAACAUUACUACUAGAAUUUGAACAAGGGAUGUGAUCUUUCAGCAUAGAAUUGCUACUCCAUCUAUCUAACUAGAACCUGAUUUUUAGCUCAUUCCCAAUAGAAAUACCAGUCCUGUGCCAAAACACAUUCUGCCCAUAUCUAAAAGCCUUCCAAAUACCCACUCCAAAAGCCUCUCGGCUCUCCUGCAUCUUUGAAAUUUCAAACACCACCAAUCUUACGAAACUUGCUACCAAUAACCUAUUUCCAAAGGAAAUUGUGCUCCACUAUGAACCUCCAUCACCACUUUCUAAGGAGAGCUUUGUUUAAGGUUGCAAGCCUUCUUAAACCAAAAGCAGCAUCCUUCUUAUCCUGACAAACCAACCCACUUCCCGAAAUGCCCUUUCUUUCCUUAGAGCUUAUCCCCACAUAAUAAGUCACUCUGAAUUUUCAAAUUUGCGUUUUGAAUUCAUGCUUCUUUUAGUUAUAAAAAUAGAUGCAGAACAUUGUUUGAUUUUACACGUGUAAACUGUAAUAUUAAUUUUUUGCCAUUAUAUUGAAUCAUAUUAAAAUAGAAAAGUGAAGGGAAAAAAAUCUUCCUAUGGAAAAUACCUGAAAGUAUUAGAAAAGGAAAAUACAACAUAACUAGACAAGUGCACAAGUCAGGUAUUGCCAUCCAAACCUAUGGUUUACAGAUCCAGUGCUGCAACACCCCUUAAAGUUCUUUGUCCUAUAAGUAAAAGUUGUAGUAAUAAGAAAAAGAUAUAAAGAUGAAGGGGUUUAGCUGACCCCUCCAGGGAGGGAGUAGUUUUAUUUUGGUUCAUAACUUUUUCUUCUUAAUUGGGGUACACAUAGGAUUUAGGGGUUUUGUUGUCUUACAGUGAAGGACGUCUCAUUGCCAACAAGAAUUUGGUUGUUUUAUGAACUUGAUGCUGAUAAAUUUGUAGAACUAGAGAUAUGUCCUAGAAAACUGAACUUUCAUCCUUCCUUCCCUUUUAAUCCUUAAUACAUUUCUCUCUCUUGUAUACAAAACAAAUAUAUCAUUUGCUCAAGUAGAGUGACAAGGAUCAUCCCUCAACAACGUAAUCCAAGAUAGCAACUCUUCAAGAAAUACGUCUCUGUUAAUGAUAUACUAGCUAAAGACAUAAGCCAAUCUCCCAGAGAUAAAUAUCCACUGAUGCUUCCUCCCCUUUGGCACAAGGCACAACACAAAGCGUGCGCCUAAGUGAAGUGAAACCUGACCUAGUAUGCAUAUCAAUUUUAUAAAAUAUGAUCCAAAACCCAAUUCAUUCAAUAAAAAAUUUAAGAUUUCAAACAUUUAAAAGAAGCAUUCAACAAAAAAAGUAAUAAAAUGAUAUAAAUUUUAAUAUACAAUUAGAAAUUUCAAGAAUAAAAGUGUUUUAAAAUAUAAAGUAAAGUAGACAACACAUGCCUCUUCAACAAGGCACAUGUCUUGGCAAGCAAGGCGUUAUAGCUAGGGAGUGGUUGCGCCUUGAGCCUAGGCGUGCUUUAAGCAAACCUUUUAAAACUAUGAAUCCAAACAAACAAGAACCUUGGCUAAAAUUGGAAAUUUCCAAAUAGAAGCAGAGUGAAAGUCAUUCAUGCAAGUUUAUAUCCUAUUAAAGCAUUUCAUAGACAAGCCUAAUUCCUUAAUACACACACAAAACAUGAGGAGAAUUUGAACUUAGACCAACCCUAAACCCACCCCAUCCUUUACCACCACAACCCAAGGCCAACAGUCAUUACAAACAAGCCUAAUUCUGCAGAGAUAUCCACCCCACAAAUCAUGUGGGCGGGCUGAGAGCCACAAGCUAAACCAAAAAGAUUAUCAAAUGAGUCUAAACCCAAAUCCUGUCCACAAUGAAAAAGAAAAAUAAGGCACGGACAAGUUGAGCUCGUCAUUCAUCAAUUAUGAAAUUUUCUAAACAAAUCAAGGUACUGACAACCACAGGAUCACCUAUGAUAUAAAAUCUUAUACUCCAUUACCACUACAAAGAAACUUUCUCCACAGCUUCCUCAAUGAUUAUGACAUAUGGAUGGGGAAGAGAUGCAUUGACUGGGCAAGUGGGAUCCCCCAAAGCCCCAAGAGGGAUUUUCACUUCACUAAUUCUGUAUUUUCGCAUUGUUAAGUACCACAUUAAAAUCACUCAGCCUUGCUAUAUACCCCCAAGCGGAAUUCAUGAUAAGUCAAGGCAAUACAUCCAGUCAAGCAUAAAGCAUCAGAAACUUCCCUAAUGCAAAAUAUAUAAGUUUCCUUUUCCACAGAUUGAUUCACUUUGUGUUUUAGGAUCAGUGUUGUCAAAAGCAAAAGGUGAUAUCAAGGCAAUAAGACUCCUUUUAGCCUAAGGCGAAAAGCGAAAGACAAGGCAAUGGUCUAACUAUAAUAAGGCGAUAAAAAAUAUACAUAUAUUUACCUAUUCAAUAUUCAACCAAUAUAAGUG